rnacentral:rRNA from 1 species
AUGUGUCUCCUUCCACCCCAAUCGGAGGCAGCAGAGGCGGAGAGGCACGUCGCGCCGCCACAUCCGGAGAGGGAGGGGCAGGCGAACGGACAUCACGUUGGAUGUGCUUCGCAGUUAAUCUGGGUUCUUUCUUCACUGUCGGUGAGGGUGUCGCCUAGGGGCGGCGGGGGCAGGGGGUCGCCGGUGGGCGACCUAUGGGAUAUGGCAGCGGACGCGAGAAGGGGUGAGGGGCCCGGGAGCCACAACGGGAGCCACGAGAGCGAGUUGGACUUGGCCAUGCUCGUCAGCGACUGCCUCAAGGGUAACGGCGGCGAGGACCCGGGCUCCCCGACCUCGGCCACUUCGCAGACAAGAUCAAGGUAUAUGUACAAGAAAGCAGGAGUUGAGAAAGAAAACAAGCUGCUCUCCAUUGUUCACUCCCUCUUCUCGAUCCACGAGACAUGGCUCCAGGUUUUUGUAAGAGGCCAAUGUACUGGCAGCUGUAGUCGCCAUCUACUCAUGAAGCUCCUUAGUUACUCAAGAUACGACACGGCGGUGAACAUGAGUACAUUGAAUAUUAGUGGACUUGGAUCAUCUUAUGAAAUCCAUGGAAUCCUUGUGGUAUUUAUUUCUCCAGGUAUGGCAAAAGUCAUGGAGUCUUUACUAUUUGUGCAUUGGCAUUCUCAAAAGAUAAUUGAUGGGUUUGUACUUUGUCCUUUUGUUUAUAGAGAAGGGGCCAUUUCCAGAGUAUGA